rnacentral:rRNA from 1 species
UACGAAGGGGGCUAGCGUUGUUCGGAAUUACUGGGCGUAAAGCGUGCGCAGGCGGCUUCUCAAGUCAGGGGUGAAAGCCCAGAGCUCAACUCUGGAAUUGCCUUUGAGACUGAGUGGCUUGAGUACGAGAGAGGUGAGUGGAAUUCCCAGUGUAGAGGUGAAAUUCGUAGAUAUUGGGAAGAACACCGGUGGCGAAGGCGAGUCCCUGGACAACUCCUGACACUGAGGCACGAAAGCUAGGGGAGCAAACAGG